CUCCCAAAAAAAACUUGCGAUACAGAGAACGGAGAAGGAGAGAGAGAGAGAUCGAGAGAUCAAAAACUGUAUGCUCUAAAAACUGAAACCCAAACAUCAGACACCAAUCAAGAUGGAAAAGAGCACGAGUUUUUGAAUUGACUGAACUCACAACCGAGCCGAAGCGUUGUGUUUCUAUGUUUCAGAAGCUUGGGAUCUUUUUGGGAGAAACAGUUGAAAGAAAUAGCGGUGGGUUUAGAAAACAGUGAUCAAAGAUUUUUGUGGGUUGUGAGAAAUCCACUGCCAGAUAAGGAUAAAGAUCCAAACUUCUCAUUUGGUCGAUUAAGCAAACCACUUCACUAUUUUUUCUACCGUUCUGUCACUUCAUCGAAACCUUUACCGGCUUAGAUUUGGGCACCAACCACCGUAGUGCAGCCGAAACUGUUACUGGUAAAGGUUUUCUUUAUUCUUUUUAAAAUUACGCCAUAAUUAUGAUUUGUGUUUUGGUGUUUGGUACUAUAGAUUCGAUUUAGGCAUUUGGGUUAGAUUUGAUUUUGAUUAAGGUUAUUGGAUUAGAUUUGGUGUAUGGUUAGGCUGUUAUGUGAUUAAUUUUACAAUAUGCAUAUUAUGCUGCCAACCAUAUUUUCUUUGUUAGAUGCCGCUUCUCUCUCUACAACAAUCUGUCACUAAACAGAUACUUAUUCUUUUACACAUUUCUUAAAUGAGUUAUUCUGUUCUCUUUUCUAUUUGUUUAUAGGACUUCUACUAGAUGUUUCUAAGUUACUUUACUUACAUUUACUUUGACUAUACUUUAACCAUAGGUUAGCAUAAAUUUUUUUUUUUUUCUCUUAAUCAAAUAUUGUUGCUUUUCCUAUUCAAAUACUAUUACUUCAAUUGCAUAGUUAAUUGAUGGGGUAAUGCUCUUUCUUUGUAUGUUUUUCCUUGGCAUUUAUAACCUUUGGCUUUCUAUUUGCUUUCUAAUGUCUUCUGUGUUUUUUAUUUAAUUGAAAUGUCUUUCAUUAAUGUUUCCUUUACAUUUUUUCUUUCUCUAUUUCUUAUUGUGUUGAUUAUAGGGUUUUGAUUGAGGCAUUUGGGUUAAAUAUGGUUUCGAUAAAGGUAUUUUGGUUAUAAUUUGUUUUUGCUUAGCUUUGGUUUUGGUUUGGAUAUUUGGAUGAUUUUGGUAGUAAUUUUGCAAUCAUCGUAGAGAGUAGAUUGAAUCAAUAUUGGAUAGUGUCUUUUGCUUUUUUGUUAGAUUUCUGAUUCAAUAUCUUGGUUUCUUUGUUUGUGUUUGGCUUUUGGUGGUCAUCCGGAUUGGAAUAUAUAUUGACUUUAUAUGUAUGACAUUGAAAAUUUCAUUGUAAUGUGGCAACUAUGGAAUGAUAAGGUAAUGGGCAAUGAUUAUGAUCAUUGGAGAAGACAAUUGUGAAGAAGGCAGUGUCAGACCCACUUGAUGUUGAGUUCGGUUUCUCUCGCCCGGACUUCAGGACGAGUCAACUCACCGAGUCAGUCGAGUUCUACCAGCGCCAUGUCUUCCUUUGCUGCAAGAACCCCCAGGUUUGGCCCUCCAAAAUUGAGGCCUCCGAAUUUGAUCAGGUUCCCAGGUUGCUCUUUGCUGCUGUCAUGGCUAGGAAGGCUGAUAUGAACAAAGAGGUGUAUAUCACUGUGAUUUUUUGUGGUUUUUAGUUUCAUUCUGGUGAAAGUUGGGUUUGGUAUUUUGUUAAUUGAAAUUGGUUUUUUUUGUGUGAUUAUGUAGACUUUUGUGUUAAGUGUUGAUAUGGGUUCAUUGUAAAUUUAUAGUGAAUUGAAAUGGGUAUGAUUUUGGUGUCUUUUGUUCAAAGUGUUGAUAUGGGUUCAUUUUAAAUUUAGUGAAUUGAAAUGGGUUUUUUUGUGUGAUUUUGGAGGCUUUUGUUCAAAUUAUUGAUAUGGGUUCAUUGUAAAUUUAGUGAAUGAGAUUUAGGUGGCUUUUGUUCUAGGAGUUGGUACAGGUUCAUUGAAAAUUUAGUGAAUUUGAAUUGGGUUGUUCUGUGAUUUUUGAGGCCUUUGUUCUAAAUGUUGAAAUGGGUUCAUUGCAACUUUAGUGAAUUGAAAUGUGUUUUACAUAGCAAUUGUGAUAUCUUGAUUUCAGUUUCAGCUGGACUACUAUUGCUGUUUCAAACUAUUAUGUAGGAGAACAGUUCUUGGCCUUCUGGGUGUCUGUCACAGCUUUCAUGAGUGUGGGGAUAAUGUAUUAUAGACUUGCAAUUUUUUUCUUACUCUUUUUUCAUGCUUGAUCUGUUUUUUUCCCCCUAUGUAUGAUGCUUUUAUUAGAUUUUUUUUCCCUGUUUAUCUGUCAUUGACUUUCCAUCUGUGUAUAGAGCAGAAAGUAGAAAAGGUGAUAAGAGAAUCAAAAGCAUGUCCAUCAAAGGCUGUAAUUUCACCAUGAUUGGUUGGAGAUUUGGAGUUGACGGAAUACCUCUUCACUCUCUUUAAAGUAAUCUUUCUCUAACAUAGGUUUUGUUUCUUCUUCACCUUUCUUAUAUGAGACGCUUUGUAAUUUUUCCCAUUUGUUUUUGGACUUCUUUUACUUCUGUUAAAUACCUUUUCACACUGAUCUUUUUUUAAAAUAAUUUUUUAUGCCAUUAUUUAGUCUAUACUGCCAUGAUCAGCAUGAAGAUUAGUUUUUUGGUGUUUAUUAAUUAUAUGUUAUUGAGUCACACUUAGUACAUAAUACCUCUUUGGCCUUCAAAUAGUGGCAUGCAUUGAUCCCACAACUGAUAUGGUUUAUGUAUAAUGUUUAUCUUAAUUUUUUUUUGGAGAAAGAUUGCUUAUCUUAAUUGAUUGUGCCUUGAAUUAUACAUAUGCUGUAAUUGUUAGAUUACCAAAAUCUUCAAUUUUUUUAUCUGAUUUUAAAUUUAGUUACUUCUUCAUUCUGCAGCCUUUGAAAUGAUUUGGUUUUGCUUGGAAUGUUUGGAUUUAUUUUUUAGGGUACUCUAGACUUAUAAUUCUAAGGAUAAGAUAUUUAGAUUGUUUUUAAUACUUGGGUUGCUAAUUAAUAUACAACAGAUUUAUCUUAAUUGAGUUAACAGUGUUUGCAUGACUGUUGGCUGAGUUUUAUAGCAUGAUACGUGUUUGACAAAA